UUGAACAUGAGAACCACUGAAAAGCAUAAAUGCAUUUGACAAAUGGCAUCAAAUAAUUUGAAACAUUGGAUUUUUAUUCACAUGUUGGCUUAUUUAUCCUAUGGUCACUCAAGAUUUAUGCAUCUGACCUUCUAAUUUUUGUUUAUGGUAGAUAAAGUAUGGCUUCAACAUGUGAUCUACAGAUAGAUAGUGUUUUCAAUCAGACCGUUCUUUCCUAUGUAAACCACCAUAAACAAUUGCUAUUUCCUAUGUGCUCAUGUGGCUGCUGAAAUUUCUUCUUCACAUAAUCACAUUCACGUGUAUAGUUUGCUUUCCUUACGCCCAUAGUUUUUUUCAUUCAUGUUCGUGUGCAGGAUUUAUUCAACGCUAGGCUCAUGGUUGAUAGAGUCAAUGAUUAUGAUUCUGGGGAAGUUGUGCCCAAGUCGUGCUCUGUCGGCACAGUCUCUUCCUGCCUCAAGGCCGCCUUGUCUGAUUUGUGCGUGCAAAAUAUACCAUCUGUCUCUUAUUUGCUGCCCUAAAUCCUAUCUCUUUUUGUAAUCUGAAUUGCAGAGCUAUUUAUUGUUGCUUAUAUGUGAUUGAAGGAUCUAAAUUUGACUUUUUUUUAAUUUUGACAAGAUAUGAGAAGAGGUUAGUUCCCUGUUUUCUGCCAUUUAGAUAUCUAUGCUUACUAUUAGUUGUUUCAGAGUACCUCAGUUUGCUCUUGUCUGAUAAAGUCUUUCCAUGCAAUUUUAGGAAUUGUUGAUGCCUUAUAUCAGUUUAUGUUGCUCUGUUAGAAAUUAUAUAUCAAGAACAAUUAGCCAAAGGAUCAAUACUAUCUCUCUCUCUCUCUCUCUCUCUCUCUCUCUUGGUGUCUCUAUUUAGAUUGUGUAGUAAUCAUGUGAUCUGUCAGAAAAUAUUGCCUUGGCAAGUUAGAGGCAUUGAGAGCAGAGAAGAAGACGGUCACCUUGUAAAUUAGCUGCUAUGUUAGCUACGAAUGAGUUUUUAGGUUGGCCAUGUACAUAGAUAGGCUGUUUGGCAUCACUACAAAAAUAAGUCAGGAUAAAAUGCUACAGGAAACUGCCGCUUUAAAUUUUGUCCAUUGUUCCUUGUAUAAUCUUUUCCUAAACUGGACACUAUCGACUUCUCUUAUAUUAUUACUUCAGUUAUUUUCCCUGGUAAGUGUUUAUUACCGAUCUACUGUUCUAUUUGUAUGAUGCAUCUUUUGUUAUCUUAGAGCAAUUGAUUGCCCAGAUUAGUUUCUAGGAUAAUCAGGUAGUAGCUUCUAUUAAGCUGAUCCAUGAAAGGUUAAGUUUCCACUCUUCACCUCUUCGGGCGUUGCAGUACUUUGGCGCACCACAACACCCGACCGCUUCUCCUCUACAUCAUCCACUUCUCGCCCAGGCAUGGCCUUGGUGAGUAAACAACAUGCCUACUACUCUGUGUGCUUGCUCAACCUCUGUUGUGUUGUUGGGCAUCUUGGAAUUUAUUUCGGCAAAUGAAAAGCUUAGUUCUCUUGGUUCACUGAAAAUAUAGCAAAAUCAUGGACGUUGCUUUGGAUAAGGCUAUUAAAGAAAUUAUAGGCCUUGUUAUUCGAAGAAGUGUUACAAUAGUUACCCGAACUAAGGAGCUUAUUCUUAAGGUGAAUGCCAUGGACUAUUUCCCUAAAUGUACAUGUUCAUUAGCCAUUUGUCUUGUUGUAGUCGAAAAGUUUAUAACAUGCUGGUAUAUUUGCCCUGAAGGAUUUGGCAAUGGAAUCUGAUGAUAGUGCAGUAUCUCGCGCUGCACAUUUGAUGGUUGGCAUGCUAGCUAGGAGUCUAGCUCACUUAACUUCCAAGGUAUUUUUGCAUAAGGGUCUUAGAUGUACUUUUGCAGUUGUAGUUACAGUCCCAAGUCCAGCGCGUUGAUUAUUAGAUUCAUUUAGGUUUAGAUUUGAUGUAUGAUGCUAUAUUCAAUUGUCCCGUAUUCUGCUGCUGCAGGAGCCUCUUUGUGUUGUUUUGUCAUAAAUGUGAAUAAAGAAAUUUCUCGUAAACAAACUUCUUGAGU